CGCUAGUAAAGUAUCUACCUUAGCGCCGCCUCGUGGCUUAUUUCUUAAAUAGUGAGAUCUGAAACCUUGAGUACCAUAUGUUAUAUAUAUACUAGUUAACCGGGCAAACGUUGUUUUGCCAUAUAAAUUAUUUCUAGUUUCUAGAUAAAUUUUAGUGUAGACAAAGAGUAACUUACUUAUUAUAAGUGUGUCAGUAUGAAAAAUUUAAUUAACUGAACUAAUUAUGCCAAAUACACUUAAAAUGAAUAAUUUUAUUAUUAUGAAUAAAAUAGUAAUCUAUAAUAUAAAAAUGAAUCGCAAAAGUGUUGUUAACCAUUGUAAACGUUACUUACUACACUUGAUACGUAUACCAUAAUGAUGGCCGAAAACUGUGUAGGGUGUGACAGAAGUCUUAUUGUGUGAGUGAAAAAGAAGACCGGCUUCAGUCUCAUUCCUUCAAGCGGAGUGAUGGAAAACCGUGGCAGCCUGGAAAAAAUUCCAGAAUUUGCAGUGCACAUUUUGUUGGGGGUGAAAAAUCUAACAAUCCACUCAAUGAAUCUUAUCACCCAACUAUAUUUCCUCUAAUAUACGUAAAAAAAAAGAAAUUCUAAUGCAGGUUUACGAGCUGAGAGAUUGCGAAAACGACGGGAAAGAAUUUCAUCUGCAAUAAUUAAUGCAGCUCCAGCAGAUGCUGCAGUUGAUGAAAUAGUUGUUUCUGAGAAACAUGAUAUUGGCAUACAAACAAAAAUAUUUUUUUGUCGACAUUUUUUUUAAAUGUUUAAUUAUUGAUAAUAUAUUCAAUAAUAAAGUGUAAACAUUA